GCCUGGUUAGUUCAGUGGUAGAAUACAUGCUUUGGGUAUAUGACGCUAGUUUCUAUUAGUGUUACUCAAAUCUGAUUGUAUGUGGUCGCAGGUUCAAUCCCUGCAUCAGGCC
rnacentral:tRNA from 1 species